CCUAAUAAUUUUUUUAAAUAUUUUAAUUAUUAAAAUAAGUAUUAUUAUGAAAUUAUUAAAAUAAUUAUCAUUGGUUGUUAUUAUCUUAGCAGAUAAUUUUUUUAUGUUUAUUGUUGUUGUUAAAUCAAAAACCAGUUACUACACUUUUAUUAUAAUAAAAACAUUUAUUUUAUUUUUUUAUAAAGCUCUGUCCAUUUAGAACAAAAUGUGCAUGCAUGUUUAUGAAAUAAUUGAACCCACCCCCGGAUGAAGAUCUAAAAAGCUAUGUUUUAAAAGCACAAUAUUUCUGUUUAUUUUAAUAGAAGAAAUAUUUAUUGUUAAACAAGUUCUAAUUUUCAGUUCUUCUGGACGUGGGACAUCUUUUUACCAUCUUUAUUGUUUUUUUAACAUUUUGUCUUUUGUUAUGUGUUAUUAGCUAUGGUUAUUAUUAGUCAUGUUCGACUUCAUGCUGCGCUGCGAGAACCGACAUCAUACGUUGAUGACGUCAAUGUAUCGCGAGAGCGAGUCAAGAAAUUACACUCUCGCGGUACAUUGACGUUAUCAACCUGUCAGCGCAGCAAGAACUCGAACACACGUAUUUGCGGGCGCGCGCCUCCGUCCUCGUGAGUUCAAAGUGGAUUUUAACCGUUUACCUCAGACGACAGUUUUCAUUUCUAUGGCAAAUUCUAAGGUCAUUUUCUUGUUGUGUUUUGAUGUUUUCCAUUGGCUGAAGAAUGCCCAAUCUGUACCACUCAAAAAGUAAUGAAGUGACAGUGUACCAUGACAAAAAAUAUGAGCCUGAAGAGGAGAUUUGGGAAGAUGCUGUUUAUAAGUCUUUGCUUUGCCAGAUCACCUGUGGUCGAGAUGUCUGCUAACAAGAUGCCUUGUUGGUCUGGGCGAGUUUGAAGUCUCUCACAGACAGUCCAGAAGGUCUGGAGUCCAUCUUAGCUUUUAUUGAACCCAUCAGCAACCAUCAAGAGAAAUUGGAGGCAGCUGAGCUAAAUUGCAGAUAUUGAUGCAAAUGAUCUGUAUAAUAUGCUGUCAUAAGGUUUUAAGUACAGUAUGAGCCAGAAUGGAAGGGUGUUGGUGGCCAUAAGAAGACUGUGAGCUAAACCUACAACAAAAUUCAUAUUUGCAGUUUUCCUAGAAUAUUUUUUUUCUAUUCAGAUGAAUAAAAUGACUUUUAAAUAUUAUUUUGUUUUCAUAUUUUAUGUUUUUAUUCUGUAUUUGGAAUAUUCCACUUUCGCACUACUAACUGGAAACCUAACUGUUUGAAAGAAUUUGUUUUUAUCUAUAAAAGAUCAAUUUUAACAGCUGCUUUCAUGUUUAUUUAGAAAAGGCACAUGCCAUUGUUCACAUUCAAACUUUACCUACUUUAGGUGUUUAGUUUUAUGGAUGGGGUUGUACUGUAGGUAAUGAGCAGCAAGUUGCAUUCUUGUAAUAAUUACACUAAAACAUGAUAUAUACAGCAAAUCAUUUGGUGAGUAUUGAAAUUUAAAAAUCUAUAUUUAGUGUUAAAAAGUGCGUUAAAACUGCGUUGCGAUAUCAACCUUGAUUCACCUAUGUUGAAAGUCUGACGUUGAAACAACAUUGAAAUGUUGUGAAAUCAACAUUGAAACCACGUUGUGAAGUCAACUUUGAUUCACUUUGCAAAACCAAAAGGUAAUUCAACGUUGAUGCAACGUUGAUCCCUGACGUUGAUUCAACGUUGAAAUGCCGGCUGAGAAGCUAAGACCAGCCUAAACCAGCUAAAACCAGCCUGGCCAGCUAAGACCAGCUUAAACCAGCUAAAACCAGCCUGGCCAGCUAAGACCAGCCAUCCUGACCAGCUAAAACCAGCCUGGCCAGCUAAGACCAGCCUGACCAGCUUAAACCAGCCUGGCCAUCUUAAACCAGCCUGACCAGCUAAAACCAGCCUGACCAGCUAAGACGAGCCACCUGACCAGCUAAGACCAGCUUAAACCAGCCUGGCCAGCUUAAACCAGCUAAAACCAGCCUGACCAGCUAAAACCAGCCUGACCAGCUAAGACCAGCCAUCCUGACCAGCUAAGACCAGCCUGACCAGCUAAAACCAGCCUGACCAGCUAAAAAUUGUCGCCAAAACCCCUCUUAAACCAGCAUGAUACACCAGCUAUGAACCAGGCUGGGAGACCAGCUAAAACCAGCUUGACCAG